UACGUAGGGGGCAAGCGUUGUCCGGAAUCAUUGGGCGUAAAGAGCGUGUAGGCGGCUCGGUAAGUCCGCUGUAAAAGUCCAGGGCUCAACCCUGGAAAGCCGGUGGAAACUGUCGGGCUAGAGUCCGGAAGAGGCGAGUGGAAUUCCCGGUGUAGCGGUGAAAUGCGUAGAUAUCGGGGGGAAUACCUAUGGCGAAAGCAGGCUACUGGACCAUCACUGACGCUGAUCUGCGAAAGCUAGGGGAGCAAACAGG
rnacentral:rRNA from 1 species